rnacentral:rRNA from 1 species
GGGUUGUGAGGUUAAGCGAACAAGCGUACACGGUGGAUGCCCUGGCAGUCAGAGGCGAUGAAGGACGUGCUAAUCUGCGAAAAGCGCCGGUAAGGUGAUAUGAACCGUUAUAACCGGCGAUGUCCGAAUGGGGAAACCCGGUGCACUUCGGUGCAUCAUCGUUAGCUGAAUACAUAGGCUAACGAGGCGAACCGGGGGAACUGAAACAUCUAAGUACCCCGAGGAAAAGAAAUCAACCGAGAUUCCCCCAGUAGCGGCGAGCGAACGGGGAACAGCCCAGAGCCUGAAUCAGCUUGUGUGUCAGUGGAACGGUCUGGAAAGGCCGGCGAUACAGGGUGACAGCCCCGUACACGAAGGCACACAGGCUGUGAGCUCGAUGAGUAGGGCGGGACACGUGAUAUCCUGUCUGAAGAUGGGGGGACCAUCCUCCAAGGCUAAAUACUCCUGACUGACCGAUAGUGAACCAGUACCGUGAGGGAAAGGCGAAAAGAACCCCGGCGAGGGGAGUGAAACAGAACCUGAAACCGUGUACGUACAAGCAGUGGGAGCCUUCGUAAGAGGGUGACUGCGUACCUUUUGUAUAAUGGGUCAGCGACUUAUAUUCUGUAGCAAGGUUAACCGUAUAGGGGAGCCGAAGGGAAACCGAGUCUUAACCGGGCGUUAAGUUGCAGGGUAUAGACCCGAAACCCGGUGAUCUAGCCAUGGGCAGGUUGAAGGUUGGGUAACACUAACUGGAGGACCGAACCGACUAAUGUUGAAAAAUUAGCGGAUGACCUGUGGCUGGGGGUGAAAGGCCAAUCAAACCGGGAGAUAGCUGGUUCUCCCCGAAAGCUAUUUAGGUAGCGCCUCGUGAAUUCAUCUCCGGGGGUAGAGCACUGUUUCGGCUAGGGGGCCAUCCCGGCUUACCAACCCGAUGCAAACUGCGAAUACCGGAGAAUGUUAUCACGGGAGACACACGGCGGGUGCUAACGUCCGUCGUGAAGAGGGAAACAACCCAGACCGCCAGCUAAGGUCCCAAAGUCAUGGUUAAGUGGGAAACGAUGUGGGAAGGCCCAGACAGCCAGGAUGUUGGCUUAGAAGCAGCCAUCAUUUAAAGAAAGCGUAAUAGCUCACUGGUCGAGUCGGCCUGCGCGGAAGAUGUAACGGGGCUAAACCAUGCACCGAAGCUGCGGCAGCGACACUAUGUGUUGUUGGGUAGGGGAGCGUUCUGUAAGCCUGUGAAGGUGUGCUGUGAGGCAUGCUGGAGGUAUCAGAAGUGCGAAUGCUGACAUAAGUAACGAUAAAGCGGGUGAAAAGCCCGCUCGCCGGAAGACCAAGGGUUCCUGUCCAACGUUAAUCGGGGCAGGGUGAGUCGACCCCUAAGGCGAGGCCGAAAGGCGUAGUCGAUGGGAAACAGGUUAAUAUUCCUGUACUUGGUGUUACUGCGAAGGGGGGACGGAGAAGGCUAUGUCGGCCGGGCGACGGUUGUCCCGGUUUAAGCGUGUAGGCUGACUUUCCAGGCAAAUCCGGAAGGUUAAGGCUGAGGCGUGAUGACGAGGCACCACGGUGCUGAAGUGACAAAUGCCCUGCUUCCAGGAAAAGCCUCUAAGCAUCAGGUAACAUCAAAUCGUACCCCAAACCGACACAGGUGGUCAGGUAGAGAAUACCA